GUGACCCGCAGGGUUGGAGGCAGGAGCCACUGAGGAGGAGGAGACUGGCAGCUACAUAAGGGCCAGCCCAGCCCAGCCUGGAGCUCUCUGGGAGGUGGUCGCUGUGAGGAUGAAGGCUGUUGUUCUGCUGGUGGCCCUGCUGUGCCAGGGUGCCUGGGCCUUGAGAUGCCACAAUUGCUCUAGCACUGGAGGGAGCACGUGCUCAGGACCUAUAGAAUGCCCCAGCCACGCGCAAGCCUGCAUUUCAGAGAAGCUAAGCAUGGACGUGCUGGGCGGGAAGUACACCUUAGUGGCCAAGACCUGUGUGGAGUCCUGCGACUACCCCAACCCCGUGAAAGCCAGAGCGUACAUCAAGGAGAUGCAAGUCUUCCAACACUGCUGUAGCACUGACCUGUGUAACGGAGCCGGGAACUGGGGCCCGGGGACCACCACCGUGGGCCUCAUGCUUGUGGCCACUGUCCUCGUCACCCUCCCAGGGGCCUUCUUGUGACCCAGAGGUGCAGGACGUGCAUGAGGCGGCACAACCCCCGUCCCCAUCCAACUGUCUGUGAGCACAUCCAUGGAGGAGGAGCCUGGGGAGGUGGGGGACUGGGCGGGAUGGUCACAAAGGACUGCGCCAACUCAUCCCCGAUCUUCAAGGCUGACAGAUGUCCCCACCCCCAGCACGCCGAUGCGAGAACCCCCCAGUCUUUGACUUUGUCUGAGGGUCCUCCCUGGCCUUUCAGCAAAACCAGCCCUGCCCUUGUCCUCUGGGAGCUGCCGCCCCAUCCGGGUGGUGCUGGGAGGAGUGUCCUUUGCCCUGGGUGGAGGACCCAACAGCCAGGAUGUUGCUUUCAAGGGCAGAACGUGAGGCCUGACUCACACCCCAGAGCCCCUGGUCAGGCUGGGGCUCCGGGGGUCACAAGCCCUCCCCGCGGCGCCUCCCGUCCCUGUCCAAAGCCCCGCUUCCUGACGGGUCCCCCAGGAGCCUCUGGAAUAAAGCUCGUACACGGGAAUCCUGCCUCAGUGUCUGCUUCAAGAGAACCCAGCCUGAAGCCGAGCUUCGUGCCCGCUGUGGCCAUGGCUCCCAGGCGGAGGCGUGUUCUCUGCUCUCCGGGGGUCUCUGCGCCUCGCGAAACCUUUCAAACCAUACAGUGUGUCAUUCGUGUAGCACUGAGGCCAUCAGUCAGGAAAUGCUCGGGGUGCUCUGAGAAGAGGUGACUGGGGGGGCCCUCUGGAGACAAAGUGGCCACAGGCCGGGGUGCCUGGAUCAGGUUGGCCAGAGUCCAGUGGCCUGUUAGCCGUCGCCUCCUCCCGAGGCAACUGGGGAGGAGUCCCAGGCAGGGCCAGGGACCAGCGGGAGCACUGGGCAGGACUGGCCCAUCCCAGGCCCUGCAGACAGAACUCAGACCCCUAAGUUGAUGCCUGGCAGAGAGGGUGGCCGGUGGGAGGCCGGGGGAUACUCACCAUGGACCCCCCUACACAGCCAGGGGAGGUGGGCUUUUCCCAAAGACCUUACCAAACCCUGGGGCAGAAGGCACUCGGGGCGGGGCUCUCAGCUCCUUCUCUCCUUUAGUCCCAAAACCACCACCACCACCCCGCCCCGAGAAUCAGACGUCACUCUAAUUGUCCUUUGUCUGGUGAAGGGACCUGCUGAGAGUCUGGGUGCUGGUCAGCUCAGGUGUGACAAAUCACCAGCGACCAGUGCGAUUAGCCUCCCCUGGUCCUGCAGCCGCCGGCGUGUCCUCCCCCUACCCUCACAUAGUCUUCGGGUUUCCCCUUCUUAUCAGGACACCAGUAACACAGGUUUAGGGCAUCUGUAGGACUAUCUCGAGACACAGUCACCUUCUGAGGUCCUGAGGCUUAACACUUCAACCUCGGAGUUUGGGAAGGACUCAAUUCAGGCCACUAUACAGGAGGAGGGAGGGUCCCAUUGAAGUCCAAGUUCAGACUCACCAGGAUCCCACAGAGGUGAAGGGGCUGCUCCCACACGAGCGGCUGGAAGGUCCAGCCCAGACAGCUGCGCGAAUCCCUGUGAGUAGAAUGUUUAAUCUCGCCCCAGGGAAUGCCGGCGUCGGUCCUCCGCUGCAGGUCAUCGCAGAGCCUGGGGACGUCCCGAGCACAGUGUCCCGUUUCCCCGGGGCUCUGGGCCACACGGUGUCAGCUCGGGCUCCCGAGGGGCUGGAGACGGAGGUAGGCCACGCAGGAAGACGACCAGUGGAUGUUAAGGGCCCGUGAGACGGAGAACGGCAGGCCCCGCACACCGGCGGCACCGACGCAACGCCCGGAAAGGCCAGGACGGAGCCAGCAGGGCGCGUCCGGUCCGCCCCCAAGCCCUGAGCCCACUGAUGGCCUCGGCCCACCAGGACCCCCCAGAGCUGUAAAUUCAGGACCCGACGGACAACUCUGAAAAAUAAAGAAGAGUCCAAGAAAUUAUUCUCUGGAGAAAUUUCUCUUCUAG